UAAGGAAUAUUGGUCAAUGGGCGAGAGCCUGAACCAGCCAUGCCGCGUGCAGGAAGACGGCCUUAUGGGUUGUAAACUGCUUUUAUCGGGGAAUAAACCUUUCUACGUGUAGGAAGCUGCAGGUACCCGAAGAAUAAGCAUCGGCUAACUCCGUGCCAGCAGCCGCGGUAAUACGGAGGAUGCAAGCGUUAUCCGGAUUCAUUGGGUUUAAAGGGUGCGCAGGCGGAUUGGUAAGUCAGGGGUGAAAUUCAACGGCUCAACUGUUGAUCUGCCAUUGAUACUGUCAGGCUAGAGUAUAGUAGGAGUGGGCGGAAUGUGUCAUGUAGCGGUGAAAUGCGUAGAUAUGACACAGAACACCGAUCGCGAAGGCAGCUCACUAAGCUAAAACUGACGCUCAUGCACGAAAGCGUGGGGAUCAAACA
rnacentral:rRNA from 1 species